rnacentral:rRNA from 1 species
GACGAACGCUGGCGGCGUGCUUAACACAUGCAAGUCGAGCGGUAAGGCCUUUCGGGGUACACGAGCGGCGAACGGGUGGGUAACACGUGGGUGACCUGCCCUUCACUCUGGGAUAAGCCUGGGAAACUGGGUCUAAUACCGGAUAUUCACGCAUCUUCGCAUGGGGGUGGGUGGGUAAGGUUUUUACGGUUAGGGGUGGUGGGCCGGCCGGCCGUACUCAGCGUUGUUUGGGUUGGGGGUGGGAGUGGCCGUACCAACGGACGGACGGACGGGACGGCCGGCCGUCGAGAGGGCGGACCGGCCGACCACU